rnacentral:rRNA from 1 species
GCUUAACGCGAAGAACCUUACCAGGGCUUGACAGUUAGUGAAUGAUGCAGAGAUGUAUCAGUGAGCAAUCACACGAAACUAGGUGCUGCAUGGCUGUCGUUAGCUCGUGCCGUGAGGUGUUGGGUUGAGUCCCGCAACGAGCGCAACCCUCGUCCUGUGUUACCAGCGAGUAAAGUCGGGGACUCACAGGAGACCGCCGGUGUAAGCCGGAGGAAGGUGAGGAUGACGUCAAGCCAGCAUGGCAGUUACGCCUGGGGCUUCACACAUGCUACAAUGGGCGAAACAAAGGGCAGCAAUACCGCGAGGUGGAGCAAAUCCCAAAAAUACGCCCCCAGUUCAGAUUACAGUCUGCAACUCGACUGUAUGAAGGCGGAAUCGCUAGUAAACGCAGGUCAGCUAUACUGCGUUGAAUACGUUCCCGGGUCUUGUACACACCG